AAAUCGCGCCGCUGUACGUGCUCCGCAGAGCUCCACUGUGCUCCACAGCGUCUCGUCACAUUUUUUAAGUUUCGCCUUUGCUAUAUUUUGCUCAGUUGCGAUUUCAUAUUCGGUUAGUUUGGACGUGUCAAAUAAAGCUGGCAAUAAAUGAUAGAUUUGCAAUAAACAAAUGUGUCCCAUUGACGACUAGCGUAACUGUAACUGAUUCGUAGGCAAUUCAACACAUCAGUGGUCAGACGAAUAUCGAGUUGCCAACCGGAGAGUUGUGCGUUACGGUCUAUUUAGUGUGAAAAUUAAGUAAUCUCAAAGUUCCGGUAACUAGUGUUUUGCGGAAGUAAAACUGCUUGUUUGAAAAAAUUAACAAAAAAGAAAAAUUUUAAUUAUUCACGGUGUUUUUUGUCAAAAUUAAAUAUUUGUGAAUUUUUAACAAUUUUCUGGCUUAUGUUUGGGUGCUGAAUUCAAAAUUUUCAAACUCCCAAAAUUAUCUUUCGAAAAGUGGAAAGUGUUACAAAUUAUUAAACUAAUAAUAACGAUUCGAGAAUUAAUAAUCGCAUAUAACAACAAUAGCAACAAAUUAUAAAAUUGAAAUAGCUAAAAAGUUUGUUCUGCUUCUUGACGCCGCUUUGGUAGCUGGUUUAGGAAUUGUUAUACAAAAAGCUGUUGCAUGCCAAUACCCUGUUGAAAUCCUUGAACAAUCCCACCUAACAAUCAUCGCUGCCAUCGUUUUGCCAAAGUAGAAUAUCCAUAAGAACACAAUGGCAUAUUCAGAAACUUGAACAACUUAUUUGGCGCCAACAUUAAAACGUUUGUCUAAUACCAAAAAAAUAUUCUUCGAAACUAUGCAGACAAUCAAGUUGUCAGCUUGUCUCCCGCUUCAGCAUCCCGCGCAACAAAGUCACCAAAGCGUAGAGCUUGAUGUUGUUUCUGUCGAAACUUCUGGUUGAGCGGAGAGAUAAACAAUAAAAGUUUUACCAAGUCACGUUACGCAAACUCCCACAGCUUUGCAAAUCCAAGAUGGAAGGAAAACGAAAAUCAAAUCAAGAAAAAACUAUUUUUAUAACACUCGGUUGACAGAGCAAACAAGUGUCGGUGUUUUUAUGUAUAAUAUAUUCUGUAAAUACUUAGAUAUAAAUAAGUAUUGUUUAUGUGACUGAAGUUAUGCUUCAACUUGAACUUGAAUCCAAUACUGAGUAAAUAAACUAGGUUUUAUAUAAGUAAAUGAGCCUUAAAAUAGCAAUAUUUGUUUGCAUAUUUAUUUGAUACUACAAGUGGUAGGCUUGAAGGGGGAAUUGACUAAUUUUGGACAGUAUUUUG